rnacentral:rRNA from 1 species
AUGGCGCUGCGUGCCCUGAUGGCGAGGGUGCGGACUUCCGCCCCUGCGCUCCGCCUCCAGACGCCGGCCCUCGGCUUCUCCCCUCUGCCCGGCGGCCGCCCCAACUUCCACUCCGCCGCUGCUGCCACCCGCCGCCUCUCCCCUCCGGCCGGCGGUCGUCCCUGCCUCAUCUCCACCAGAUUCCUGGUACCUCCCGACCCCUCCUCUCUGAUACGCGCUGCUGGUUCAAUUUUGUUGUUUUGA